rnacentral:rRNA from 1 species
AGCGAACGCUGGCGGCAGGCUUAACACAUGCAAGUCGAGCGGGCGUAGCAAUACGUCAGCGGCAGACGGGUGAGUAACGCGUGGGAACGUACCUUUUGGUUCGGAACAACACAGGGAAACUUGUGCUAAUACCGGAUAAGCCCUUACGGGGAAAGAUUUAUCGCCGAAAGAUCGGCCCGCUUCUGAUUAGCUAGUUGGUGAGGUAACGGCUCACCAAGGCGAGGAUCAGUAGCUGGUCUGAGAGGAUGAUCAGCCACAUUGGGACUGAUACACGGCCCAAACUCCUACGGGAGGCAGCAGUGGGGAAUAUUGGACAAUGGGCGCAAGCCUGAUCCAGCCAUGCCGCGUGAGUGAUGAAGGCCCUAGGGUUGUAAAGCUCUUUUGUGCGGGAAGAUAAUGACGGUACCGCAAGAAUAAGCCCCGGCUAACUUCGUGCCAGCCGCCGCAGUAA